rnacentral:rRNA from 1 species
UAGGGAAUCUUCGGCAAUGGGGGGAACCCUGACCGAGCAACGCCGCGUGAGUGAAGAAGGUUUUCGGAUCGUAAAGCUCUGUUGUUAAGGAAGAACGAGUGUGAGAAUGGAAAGUUCAUGCUGUGACGGUACUUAACCAGAAAGGGACGGCUAACUACGUGCCAGCAGCCGCGGUAAUACGUAGGUGGCAAGCGUUGUCCGGAUUUAUUGGGCGUAAAGCGCGCGCAGGCGGACUAGCCAGUCAGUCUUAAAAGUUCGGGGCUUAACCCCGUGAUGGGAUUGAAACUACUAGUCUAGAGUAUCGGAGAGGAAAGUGGAAUUCCUAGUGUAGCGGUGAAAUGCGUAGAUAUUAGGAAGAACACCAGUGGCGAAGGCGACUUUCUGGACGAACACUGACGCUGAGGCGCGAAAGCCAGGGGAGCGAACGGG